rnacentral:lncRNA from 1 species
GGAACGAGAGUACUUACACAUUCUUAUCAAAAAAAAGGAGAGAACACUUGCAAAUUUACAAUUAAGCGCAUGGGAUAUCAAGGUCAUGACAGUUAGAACUUAGAAGCGAUUAUUACGGUUUGUCACUAACCGGAUUCCACGUGGUCAUCUCUGGAUAAAUUCGGAAUCCCGGUUAAUAUGGAGUGCGAUAUUAGACAUUACACGUGUGUAAAGAACGUGAAGUGCCCUCCAGUUCCUGCAGAAUCACAAACAAAUAAUUGUCAAUGAUUUGAUUCUUUCUUAUCUCCCUAAUAUGUCAUAUUCCAAGACAACAUAAACUGUC